GACGAACGCUGGCGGCGUGCCUAAUACAUGCAAGUCGAGCGAAGUUUUUCUGGUGCUUGCACCGGAAAAACUUAGCGGCGAACGGGUGAGUAACACGUAAAGAACCUGCCUCAUAGACUGGGACAACUAUUGGAAACGAUAGCUAAUACCGGAUAACAGCAUUAACUGCAUGGUUGAUGUUUAAAAGUUGGUUUUGCUAACACUAUGAGACGGCUUUGCGGUGCAUUAGCUAGUUGGUGGGGUAAAGGCCUACCAAGGCGACGAUGCAUAGCCGACCUGAGAGGGUGAUCGGCCGCACUGGGACUGAGACACGGCCCAGACUCCUACGGGAGGCAGCAGUAGGGAAUCUUCCGCAAAGGGCGAAAGCCUGACGGAGCAACGCCGCGUGAGUGAAGAAGGAUUUCGGUUCGUAAAGCUCUGUUGUUAGGGAAGAAUGAUUGUGUAGUAACUAUACACAGUAGAGACGGUACCUAACCAGAAAGCCACGGCUAACUACGUG
rnacentral:rRNA from 1 species